rnacentral:rRNA from 1 species
UGCAAGUCGAGCGAACAGAGAAGGAGCUUGCUCCUUCGACGUUAGCGGCGGACGGGUGAGUAACACGUGGGCAACCUACCCUAUAGUUUGGGAUAACUCCGGGAAACCGGGGCUAAUACCGAAUAAUUUGUUUCACCUCAUGGUGAAACACUGAAAGACGGUUUCGGCUGUCGCUAUAGGAUGGGCCCGCGGCGCAUUAGCUAGUUGGUGAGGUAACGGCUCACCAAGGCGACGAUGCGUAGCCGACCUGAGAGGGUGAUCGGCCACACUGGGACUGAGACACGGCCCAGACUCCUACGGGAGGCAGCAGUAGGGAAUCUUCCACAAUGGGCGAAAGCCUGAUGGAGCAACGCCGCGUGAGUGAAGAAGGAUUUCGGUUCGUAAAACUCUGUUGUAAGGGAAGAACAAGUACAGUAGUAACUGGCUGUACCUUGACGGUACCUUAUUA